UACGUAGGCAGCAAGCGUUGUUCGGAGUUACUGGGCGUAAAGGGUGCGUAGGCGGCUUUUUAAGUUUGGUGUGAAAUCUCCCGGCUCAACUGGGAGGGUGCGCCGAAUACUGAGAGGCUAGAGUGCGGGAGAGGAAAGUGGAAUUCCUGGUGUAGCGGUGAAAUGCGUAGAUAUCAGGAGGAACACCGGUGGCGAAGGCGGCAUCCUGGACCGGCAUUGACGCUGAGGCGCGAAAGCCAGGGGAGCAAACGGG
rnacentral:rRNA from 1 species